UUGUGUAAAGCAAUAACGGUGCUUUUCUCAUAAACGUCGCAAAAGGUAAAACAAUGUUUUUCCCAUAAAUGCUGCGAAUUAUUUUAAUUUUUAUUGAAACGGCGCCAUUUUUAUUCUUCGAUACAAACCGAAUCCCUUUUCUUUCUCAAACGGCACUGUUUUUCCCAACAAUGUCUGAUAUCAUCUCCUCCAAUUCCCUUUUCUUUCUUAGUCUGUUCUUUGCUUGACUCAAAUAUACAAACUUGUUCUUCUAUUUUAUACCCCAAAAUCCUCACAGUUCUGCUCUACAAAUAUAUUACCUUCCCCAUCCACAUUAUUUGAUUUCCCAAAAUCCUAAACACCCACUGUGCCCCCCUUUCCUCAGAAGCUGUAAUCAAGCAACCGAUGCCUAGCCACUUUACCCAGCAGCCAACUCACUCGCCAGCCUCCGGUUUUGGUUUGGGGAAACAUUAAAGUUUGGGUUUGGAGAUACGUAGUUAUCAGCAUUAGUUGGCAGAUAACAUUGUCCCAGUGCAGGCCGCAGGUGUUCCCCUCUCCACCCAAACAUAAUCUUCCUUGCCAAGGAAAAUAUCAAUUGUCUGCUCGACACAUAGAGACAGUGAAUUAAAUCCUUACAAAAGAAGUAUUCGAUAGGCUCGUUGGAAUUGCCUAAUCAAACAACUCCAUUUUAAGCUCUCCUUAAUUGCAUUUAUUAUAUGCCUAGAAAAAGAUUGCGAGAUUUAAGUAUUAUUCAAAAUCCUCCAAAUUUGGAAGAAACCAAAAGUGACCAUCAGAUUGCUAUUGGAUCUUCGAAUGUUCCGACUACAGUUGGCGAACCUGUAGAAAUUCAAACUGAAAAUGGUGGGAGGCGCAAAACUUGAGGACAUACGCUAUUAAAGGAUUCAUACGAUCUAAAUUCUGUAGAGCGUGUCAAAGUAUCUAAAAAUAGUCAUGGUUAACCUAUUGGAUCAAAAGCUCGAUUUUUAGCAGGAUACUUGGGCAUUAUAGCACAGAAUGCCAAUCUGUUGCUAAUCAACUACAAGUCAUGGCAUCAUAUGCUUGAUAGUAACAAAAAUCAAGCUCUCGAUAAUAUUAUGGAGAAACUAAAGGAGAAAAGGGAGGAGUAUGAAGUGAUGGCUUCAAGUGAAAGUUCUGUUAAUUUGGACAACAUUGAUAAUCGAAUUAUUACUGAAGUUUUGAGUCUUGAAAGCAAUACAUGCUUUCGGCGAAUCAGGCUCAAGCUGAAGUUUAGAGGUUAAGAGACCAGAUUGCUCAGAUGCAAGCGAGCACAAUUGAGCAAAUUGCUUAACUUAAAGCGGAGGCAGUAUCAAGAGAAGCAAAAGCUCAAAGAAAAUAUGAUGAACUCCAGCUAUAACUUAAAGUGGAGGUAGUAGCGAAGGAAGCAGAGGUAGCAGUAAGGGCAGCAGAGGCAACAAGAAAAUAUGAUGAACUCUAGCUACAGCUUCAAAAUAUGAUGAAGGUGUUUUAGCAGAACCAAUCACAGAAUCCGCCAUCUUAGACUUUUGUUUUCUUAUUGUGAGAAUAUAUUAACAAUAUAAUUUUUGAAUAUAUUUUGUUAUUUCAUUUAUUAAUUUAGAUCAUAUACAUAUUUCUUUCAUCAUAGUAUCAUUUAGAUUUGAAGUUUUUGGUUGGAUUUGAAGUUACAGGAAAAUAUGUUGAAAAUUUAGGUUCCAUAUGAAAUAAAAAUAAAUUGAUAAAA